CUAUUAGUGCCUAUGAUACCGGUUCCUAAUUAGUAAUUAGUAAUAUGAAUAUCUGAAUUUGGUUAUCACUUGGGUCAAGUCAUUACAAUUUGUCUUUUCUCUUUUAAUCUUAACAUAAUGUGCUUUAUUGUAUGAUAUUGAUUUAGAAACCAUGGCUAUAAAUUCUGUGAUUCUUUAUAAUCUUAUCCACGAAAUAAUUUAGAAUGGCAUUUAGAUACUUGUUUGCCUUCUUGUUGGCUUUAUGCCUCUCACACCCUCAUUCUGUUCUUGUUACACAGAAUUUGCCAUACAAAGCUGUGAAUCUAGGAAACUGGUUGCUUGCUGAGGGAUGGAUGAAACCUUCUCCCUUUGAUGGAAUUGCCAACAAAGAUCUCUUGUUAUGAUUCUUUCUUUAUUAGGGUCCACUUCAUUUGUAAAUUUAAUAGAACUGCUUAUGAUUUCAGGAUGGAACUCAAGUGCAGCUAAUGCCCACUAAGUUCCAGAAAUAUCUCGCCGCAGAAAAUGGAGGAGGAGCUGAUGUUGUUGCUAACUGUGCUUCAGCUUCAGCUUGGGAAACAUUCAAGCUAUGGAGGGUAAGUGACACCUCCUUCAAUUUUAGAGUGUGUAACAAGCAAUUUCUUGGGCUAGAAAAUCAAGGUAGUGGAAGGUUCAAUUAGAGACAUCAGUGACAGCAGAUUAUGCAGGCACUAAUUGAGAUGAGCAUGGUUCCAAAGAUACUCAUCGUAUUUGGCUUUUUUUUUUCUUUUAAGUACAUGUAUUUUGUUAAGGAUCUUUUAUUUAAUUAAUUUAUCAUAUUUUGUUAUGUGAAUUAAA